rnacentral:rRNA from 1 species
UACGGAGGAUCCAAGCGUUGUCCGGAUUUAUUGGGUUUAAAGGGUGCGUAGGCGGCUUUGUAAGUCAGUGGUGAAAUAUGGCAGCUCAACUGUCAGGGUGCCAUUGAUACUGCAGAGCUUGAGUACAGAUGAGGUAGGCGGAAUUGACGGUGUAGCGGUGAAAUGCUUAGAUAUCGUCAAGAACACCGAUAGCGAAGGCAGCUUACUGGGCUGUAACUGACGCUGAGGCACGAAAGUGUGGGGAUCAAACAGG